rnacentral:rRNA from 1 species
UGGGGAAUUUUGGACAAUGGGCGAAAGCCUGAUCCAGCAAUGCCGCGUGUGUGAAGAAGGCCUUCGGGUUGUAAAGCACUUUUGUCCGGAAAGAAAUCCUUGGCUCUAAUACAGUCGGGGGAUGACGGUACCGGAAGAAUAAGCACCGGCUAACUACGUGCCAGCAGCCGCGGUAAUACGUAGGGUGCAAGCGUUAAUCGGAAUUACUGGGCGUAAAGCGUGCGCAGGCGGUUUGCUAAGACCGAUGUGAAAUCCCCGGGCUCAACCUGGGAACUGCAUUGGUGACUGGCAGGCUAGAGUAUGGCAGAGGGGGGUAGAAUUCCACGUGUAGCAGUGAAAUGCGUAGAGAUGUGGAGGAAUACCGAUGGCGAAGGCAGCCCCCCUGGGCCAAUACUGACGCUCAUGCACGAAAGCGUGGGGAGCAAACAGGAUUAGAUACCCUGGUAGUCCACGCCCUAAACGAUGUCAACUAGUUGUUGGGGAUUCAUUUCCUUAGUAACGUAGCUAACGCGUGAAGUUGACCGCCUGGGGAGUACGGUCGCAAGAUUAAAACUUAAAUGAAUUGACGGGGUCAUAGCUGUUUCCU